rnacentral:lncRNA from 1 species
CCCCUCACGACGUCCCCGUCACCACGCUCCCCCCUCACGAUGUCCCCCUCAGGACACCCCUCUCACGACGUCCCCCUCACACUACCGCCCCUCUUGGCAGCUUGACCUUCAACCCUCCAGGGUUUCUUUUUGACCUUUGCUUUCCUUCCAAACUCUCCUGCCUCUGGAAUAGAAGCGUCACAGAACAGAAAAAGACUUUAGGGAUGGGCUGUUUUGCAGAUGCCACACACCACGUGUUCCCAGCUCUAAGAGGCCUGUUUGUCCCCAUUUUGCCACCUCUGGAUUCAGGACACGCCUGGCUGCAUUGUCUCCUUGUCUGCAUAAAAACUUGUGGGACAGAAGCCGCUGGCAGAUGUUGGUGGGGACCCUCACAACGCCCCCAAUUCAGGCCCCUGAGGCCACAGGAAAGGAUGUGGCACAAGGAGGCCAACCGUGCGGUCCUGCUUGGAGCGGUGACUGGGAAGACAGACGUACCCUGAAGAAGCACAGAGGAAUCGAGACCAAUUGUUUUUGCCUUAUUUUCCUAGUUAAGUAUACAAAGGAGUGAUAUUAAUAAAAACCUAUGUCUAAAUAAGUAAAAACUACUCUUUUGACAGGUACGAAAUGAAAACUCUGUGUUGAGAGCAGCUUUCUAGUUUGGGGGACAAUCUUGAUCUCUCUUAGCUGAAUGGGAGUCUUUGAUUCUAUGAAGGGCCAGACGCAUUGCUGGUG